rnacentral:rRNA from 1 species
UCCGUAGGUGAACCUGCGGAAGGAUCAUUAUCACGUAUCCACGUAUAAACCACUGCGAACUGUUUCCCUUUGGAGGUUCUAGGUUUGGCUUGACCAAUCUUUCCAAUGUCGUGAUGGGAAAGCGGUCUCUGCCGUGAAAAAGGACGCUUCGGUGUCUGAUUUCCGCCUGAAUCUUUGAAGCGGUUAUUCAUCACGUCUACAACUUAACAUUAGCCCCUUUAAACUUCUUGAACUGAAACUUAAGCGUGAUGUAAAGUCUGCCUUCGGGUUCACUUGAUCAUGUCUUUAUUUACGAAACUACGAACAAUUCUUAACAACGGAUAUCUUGGCUCUGAUAACGAUGAAGAACGCAGCGAAAUGCGAUACGUAAUGCGAAUUGCAGAACUCAGUGAAUCAUCGAAUCUUUGAACGCAAAUGGCGCUCUCGGGAUAGGCCUGGGAGCACGCCUCUUUGAGUGUCGAUUCAAUCAAACUCAGCGACCUGCUCUUAAUUGGUGCGGGAUGCGGCUGAACAUUGAGUGUCUCACGAAAGUGUGUCACUUUAAGCGGAGCGAGUCUCCUUUCUUCUAGCACUUGCUGAGUUUCGGCUCUGGCAUAGCCUAGGAUGAGUUUUGCCCUGCAAACUUGUGCCUGCUAGUGAUGCGGAUAAUCACAUCUGUGUGUUCCAUCAUGACUGGUAGGAGCGAGCUUCUGGCAAACGGCUUUAGUGUCCGGCUCUUUCUUGUGCGAACCUGCCUGAAGACUGUGAAGACAGAUCGGGGGCCCGCAGCAA